rnacentral:tRNA from 1 species
CGGGAUGUGGCGCAGCUUGGUAGCGCACCUCACUGGGGGUGAGGGGGUCGCAGGUUCAAAUCCUGUCAUCCCGACCA